rnacentral:rRNA from 1 species
UACGUAGGGCGCAAGCGUUAUCCGGAAUUAUUGGGCGUAAAGAGCUCGUAGGCGGUGUGUCGCGUCGGCCGUGAAAACUUGCAGCUUAACUGUGGGCGUGCGGUCGAUACGGGCAUCACUGGAGUUCGGCAGGGGAGACUGGAAUUCCUGGUGUAGCGGUGAAAUGCGCAGAUAUCAGGAGGAACACCGGUGGCGAAGGCGGGUCUCUGGGCCGAUACUGACGCUGAGGAGCGAAAGCGUGGGGAGCAAACAGG